AAGGAUUAGUGACUUACUUGGUGAGGGUUCUGAAUUUCCAUCCUUAAGUAACAUGACAGUCAUGAAAAGAUUGAUGUUGAGGAGCUGCAAUCUUUACGGACCAAUCUCCCCAAAUAUAUCAAAAAUGACAGUACUACAAACUCUAGAUCUCAGCUUCAACAGAUUGGAAGGAAAUGUUCCAGAUUUCAAAGAUCAAGCAUAUUUGGAAAUCAUG